rnacentral:rRNA from 1 species
GACGAACGCUGGCGGCGUGCUUAACACAUGCAAGUCGAACGGGCCUGCCUUCUUUUUUGGGGGGUGGGUUGAGUGGCGAACGGGUGAGUAUCACGUGAGUAACCUGCCCUUCGGUCCUGGAUAACCGCUUGAAAGGGCGGCUAAUACGGGGUGGUCCGGUUGGUCCGCAUGGGCUGGUCGGGAUAGAUUCACUGUUUUUGGUGUUUCGGCGGGGGAUGGGCUCGCGGCCUAUCAGCUUGUUGGUGGGGUGAUGGCCUACCAAGGCGGUGACGGGUAGCCGGCCUGAGAGGGUGGGCGGCCACACUGGGACUGAGAUACGGCCCAGACUCCUGCGGGAGGCAGCAGUGGGGGGUAUUGCACAAUGGGCGGAAGCCUGAUGCAGCGACGUCGCGUGAGGGAUGGAGGCCUUCGGGUUGUGAACCUCUGUUUCCGGUGGUGAAGGCCCUGUCCGUGUGGUGGGGUUGACGGUAGCCGGGGAUGAAGCGCCGGCUAACUACGUG